CUGGUUUGCAUGUCUCAACUGGCCUCAGCAGCAGAGAAGUGCCCAAAAUGAGCCAACAGAACAGAUUAGACUGGAAGAGCAGUUGAGACCAGCAAACCAUCUAAGUGAUCGAGAAUUGUAUCGGUCAGAUUCUAAAGCCAUCCUGAAUCAGACUGACAGUCAGUUGCAAGUAGAUUUUGAAG